AUAUUUACUAUGUUAAUGAAAGUCAAUAUUUUACUAAAUUUUGCUUUUGUUUUUCUUUCAGAUAUAGGUGGAGACAUUCUAAUAACACAACUCAGAACAUCCAUUACCAAGAAAAAAGGAAAUACGGCAUUUCUUGAAUGCCAAAUAAAAACAGAUACCUUAAAGAAGAAUGUAUAUGUACACUGGUACAGACAGAAGCCCGACCAGCCUAUAAAACGUAUCUUGUAUAUUUCCUCAAAUGAAAAUGUGGUCCAUGAGCAAGGUUUUAGCGAGGAAAGAUACGAAGCACGGAAGCCGCAGGAUGACCUGCCUGCGAGCCUCAGGAUACACCAAGUGAAGGAGGCUGACGCAGGGCUGUAUUACUGCGCCUGCUGGGACACACGCUCAGGUUGGGGGAAGGUAUUUGGACAAGGAACUAGGCUCAUAGUAACUCCCCCUGAUGGAAGACUUGAUUCAGACAUUUCUCCCAAGCCUACCAUUUUUCUUCCUUCAAUUGCUGAAAUAAAUCUCCAUAAGGCUGGCACAUACCUUUGUCUUCUUGAGAAAUUUUUCCCUGAUGCUAUUAGGGUGCACUGGAAAGAAAAGAAUGGCAGAACAAUUCUGGAGUCCCAGCAGGGAAACACUGUGAAGACUAAUGACACAUACAUGAAAUUCAGCUGGCUGACCGUGAUUAAAAAAUCAAUGGAUAGAGAAUAUGAAUGUGUCGUCACACAUGAGAAUAAUAAAGGAGGGGUGGAUCAAGAGAUUCUUUUUCCUUCAAUUAAAAAAGUGGUCUCUGAUAUUGAUUCUACAGAAAUGUGUCUGAAAGGUACCCUGCAGCUGCAGCUCGCCAACACCUCUGCCUACUACACCUACCUGCUCCUCCUCCUCAAGAGCCUCGUCUACUUUGUCGUCGCCGCCGUCUGCCUGCUCGGGAGAACAGCCGACUGCGGCAAUGCAAAGAGUUCAUGAGAGUCCGCGGCAAAGUGGGUCAACUUUCCCUCCUCACGUUCUGUCCCUAAGAGGGUCUGCUAAGGAUCCCGCUGGGUUCUCCUUCCGGGUUUGGGUUAUUUAAGUUCACGUAUGGA